AGAGUUUGAUCAUGGCUCAGAACGAACGCUGGCGGCAGGCCUAACACAUGCAAGUCGAACGUGAAGCUACCUUCGGGUGGUGGAAAGUGGCAGACGGGUGAGUAACGCGUGGGAACGUGCCUUUCGGUUCGGAAUAACCCAGGGAAACUUGGGCUAAUACCGGAUACGCCCUUCGGGGGAAAGAUUCAUCGCCGAAAGAUCGGCCCGCGUCGGAUUAGCUAGUUGGUAGGGUAAUGGCCUACCAAGGCGACGAUCCGUAGCUGGUCUGAGAGGAUGACCAGCCACACUGGGACUGAGACACGGCCCAGACUCCUACGGGAGGCAGCAGUGGGGAAUAUUGGACAAUGGGCGAAAGCCUGAUCCAGCCAUGCCGCGUGGGUGAAGAAGGCCCUAGGGUUGUAAACCCCUUUCAGCGGGGAAGAUAAUGACGGUACCCGCAGAAGAAGCCCCGGCUAACUCCGUGCCAGCAGCCGCGGUAAUACGGAGGGGGCUAGCGUUGUUCGGAAUUACUGGGCGUAAAGCGCGCGUAGGCGGAUCUGCAAGUCGGGGGUGAAAUCCCGAGGCUCAACCUCGGAACUGCCUUCGAUACUGCGGGUCUCGAGUCCGGGAGAGGUGAGUGGAAUUCCUAGUGUAGAGGUGAAAUUCGUAGAUAUUAGGAAGAACACCAGUGGCGAAGGCGGCUCACUGGCCCGGUACUGACGCUGAGGCGCGAAAGCGUGGGGAGCAAACAGGAUUAGAUACCCUAGUAGUCC
rnacentral:rRNA from 1 species